AUCCAGCUGGCGAGUCCCGAAUAGGACGAAACGCGCGUCCUCGAU
rnacentral:hammerhead_ribozyme from 1 species